rnacentral:miRNA from 1 species
GCCAUCAUACGUCCAACCGUG